CAAUGGGGAGGCACAGUUAGGGGAAUCUUCCACAAUGGACGCAAGUCUGAUGGAGCAACGCCGCGUGAGUGAAGAAGGGUUUCGGCUCGUAAAGCUCUGUUGUUAAAGAAGAACGUGGGUAAGAGUAACUGUUUACCCAGUGACGGUAUUUAACCAGAAAGCCACGGCUAACUACGUGCCAGCAGCCGCGGUAAUACGUAGGUGGCAAGCGUUAUCCGGAUUUAUUGGGCGUAAAGCGAGCGCAGGCGGUCUUUUAAGUCUAAUGUGAAAGCCUUCGGCUCAACCGAAGAAGUGCAUUGGAAACUGGGAGACUUGAGUGCAGAAGAGGACAGUGGAACUCCAUGUGUAGCGGUGAAAUGCGUAGAUAUAUGGAAGAACACCAGUGGCGAAGGCGGCUGUCUGGUCUGCAACUGACGCUGAGGCUCGAAAGCAUGGGUAGCGAACAGGAUUAGAUACCCUGGUAGUCCAUGCCGUAAACGAUGAUUACUAAGUGUUGGAGGGUUUCCGCCCUUCAGUGCUGCAGCUAACGCAUUAAGUAAUCCGCCUGGGGAGUACGACCGCAAGGUUGAAACUCAAAAGAAUUGACGGGGGCCCGCACAAGCGGUGGAGCAUGUGGUUUAAUUCGAAGCUACGCGAAGAACCUUACCAGGGUCUUGACAUCUUCUGACAGUCUAAGAGAUUAGAGGUUCCCUUCGGGGACAGAAUGACAGGUGGUGCAUGGUUGUCGUCAGCUCGUGUCGUGAGAUGUUGGGUUAAGUCCCGCAACGAGCGCAACCCUUAUUACUAGUUGCCAGCAUUAAGUUGGGCACUCUAUGAGACUGCCGGUGACAACCGGAGGAAGGUGGGGACGACGUCAAAUCAUCAUGCCCCUUAUGACCUGGGCUACACACGUGCUACAUGGAUGGUACACCAGUCCGAAACCGCGAGGUUAAGCUAAUCUCUUAAAACCAUUCUCAUUCGGACUGUAGCUGCAACUUCGCCUACACGAAGUCGG
rnacentral:rRNA from 1 species